GUGGGACGCCGAAGUGAACGGACGUGUCGAACUGUCGCUCGUUAUUUGGCGCGAAGAUUCAACGGUUGCCCGCGAAACCAGUGAUGUAUUAAUAGGAUCGACGGUGCGUUUUUAUGGAUCGUCACAUGAAAGACCUUCCACCACCCCGGGAAAGCACGGACAGAGACCAAUUGGCAGAUGGUGAUCGUGAUGAGCUGAGCGGUGAGGACCAGUUACCGAUGAUUCCAGAGUUUCCUGAAAUCCCUGAAUGGAUGAGGGUGUCUGCUAGUCACAAAGAAAAGUCAACUUCACCAGCACCAAGAGGGUACAGGGAUGUCGAAGAUGGUACGAUCGCCAAGGGGGAAGGCAAAAGUCACCGAAAGUGAAGGACGGGAAUUUCGAAUCAGUGAACGACUUCAGAUUGUCUGCUAAGCUUUAAUGAAGCUGAUGCUGAACCUCGUGCGCCGGAGAAGAAAAUGAUAUACGAUGUUCAACUUGCUUGAUUGUCAUCAUGGUGUUCUUGUGUAGAUUGUGGGUUUAUGUUAGAAACUUUCGGACUUUGUGUAAAAAGAAGGUUGUUUAUCGCGUAAAGGUUUUCCCGGCCAAUUCAAGUCAACUGCUCUUUUGUUCAUUGGUUGUUUGGAAUUAAAUCUUGCCUUUUUGUUCGGAUUCGAAGGUCCUAUAAUGUUUCUUUCAAGAUUCUACCAUUGCUGUGAUUACCAUGCUCAUUUAUUGCUAGACCGUUCAACCUUAAUUGAAGCGUUCGGAGGCAAUGUCCUAAGGCCGGUUCAUACUUCAGACGAACGCAAAAGCGGAGCAAAUUGACGUCACGGAACGCAGCGACAUUGCCAGAAAGUGUUCAAUUAUUAUUUUACAAAUUCAUAGCAUGAAUAUUUGAUCUGAAGUUUGUCUUCUAUUCAAUUCGACCAUCUGAAAAUGAAUUUCAAUGCAAUUUUUACGAACCUGGCCUAGAUAACCUACAAUAAAGGUUUUUCCCCGGCUAAUUUCAAAUUGUUCAGUUUAACAUGAGCCCACAACAUGUUUGAACGUAGGCAGGUAUAUACAACACCUGCAUAAAUGCCCGUCAUCUAAUUGGUGCAUCGUUGAUAACAUGCAUAAGCAUGCAGAGUGCAAAGAAAUUUAUAACAACUGUGCGCUAGAAACGAAUACCGAACACCUCCGGAUCAAUUGCACUGCAGGUUCUAGUGGCGCAAGUUUCUCAAUGGUAAAACGACGAGAGAUCAAGCUCCGCCGUUCACAAUUCUACGAAAUAAUUAUAAGAACUUGUUUUGUAAGUGAUUCUGAUGCUGCCAACAUAAGAACAUUGAUAAAAUGCUGCCAAACGAUUAAACGAGCUUGGAAUAUCAUGUCGGAAAAUUAAAGGAUUCACAACUGGACAACUUCCAGUUUGAAUCAGUUAAUUAAUCUAGUUAUACUCAGAAAAUCAGAUGAUGAGGAUUUGUACAGGUGUUAUAUAAAACAAUAAUGAAUGUUUUGCAUUCGUGCUAAAGAAUAAUUGCAUUUAUUCUUAUCAUCGCACUCAUAAACAUUCAUUAUUUGUAUAAUAGCAGACUGAAACCUGUUUAACAUGCUUCAUUCAAUUCUGUUUCAGUAGCAUGUACUUUCUGAUUACUUAUACCCAUGUUAGAGGGAAUUUUGCAAGGGAAGAAUAACAAGGACGCAGGGACACACACAAAUUCAUUUUGUGAAAGCUGUGACUCUGCUUUCAUAUGUCAUGCCGAAUUUCAAAUAGUCGGUAUAAUUAUACACAAAAAUAAAGAAAAUUCAACAACACCUGCAGAGUAAGACAAACUUCCUGUCUUGAUUCCCUUAUAAGUCCAUUUAACCAACCUUGCGCAAAACCUCUUUAAUGGCACGAAUUGGGAUUAUUUUAACCCAUACAACAGGAAUAUUAUAUAGAGCUCUUAAAGUGAAAAGGCCUUUUAACGCCUACAAUUUGAAAUGCAUUAUCACCCAAACGGUCCAAGCAAAUGCUGUCCAGUUUGAACGUAAAAUGUCAGCUGGUGGUGUUUGUAACUGACGUGCUUUUUAGAGUGGUGAUCCAGGGAUAUAAACACAAACACUCAGAUUAAGUUCUGUGCAGCUCUUCAGAAAAUACUCCUUAGCAUGUUUUAAUGUGUAGCAUCGUCAGCAUCUCCUUUCAAAUCAACUUGUGAAAGUGAAAUACGCUAUUUGUUAUUUCACUUGAUCAGACUUUAUAGAAGUAAACUCAAUUUUUAUUACCUCCGGAUCUUCAAGCGCAAAUAAGAUGAAAUAAAAGGCAUUAUAAAGCCAAUGCAUUCUCUUAAACAAGCUAUAAACAUCGUCAGUUGAUUUUUUUAUAGCAUAAUUUUCUUGGACUAUUUUGAGGCACACAGGUAGAUUGAAUGUAAAUAGACACGGUGAAAAUACCACACAUCUGUAAAAUCCUCUGCCCUUUGAUGAUUCUUAAUAAGAAUGCCAAUUUGACAAGAAAUUGAAAAUUGAAUUUACAAAUGAAAAAAGGGUUGAAUGCCAUAGACCCUACGUGUAAAAGACCAAGAAUAAGUUAAAUUAACCUGGUUGUGCACAAUAGGAAGCUGAAGCCUACUUCGAAAAGGAAAUCUCGGUUUGAGCAAAAUCAAACAAUCUGCACGAAUGUGAGAGGGUUUCAAAAAUGAACGCAAUUUUGCUGAAGUUGGCCGGGAAAUCCUAUAAUGGAUUCAUGUAAUGGCAAAACAAAUAAUUUCAAUGUUCACUGUGUGAAGUAGUGUCAAUAAUUUUCUGUUUAAAUAACCAAGAAGCAGAUAGUACUGUUUUUCUUGAAUAUCACGGAACUGUGAGUUUCAAAGGGUUUCACCAACGAAAGGGAAUUCGAGCACUUUUUCUAUAGUAUUUCACGAGAGUUAAGCUAUUGAAGGAGUGGGUGUAAUUUGAGCUUCGAGGCACAAACCUUCAUGACUGCGUGCGUCAUUGUCCCACUGAAAACACAGUCUAUGUGCUCUGAUAAUUCGUCAUAGAAUCAUUGGUGUAAAUUUCAUGCCCACACUAUUCGUUGACUAUGCAUCACAAAGGAUCUUACACUUGUCUGAUAUUGUAAAUGAUAGAAACCCAAUGAUCAAACUUUUGAGUAAAGAUGGUGUAUUUCGUAUAUGGUGUGCAUAUGGAAUAUAUAUUUGCAAUGCCAUCUUUAGAACGAUAUUUAUUCAACACGAUAACCCCAAUCACCAAAUACGCUCCAAAAAUGCGUCGUUUUUGUCCAGCUCUAUCGGGUAUAAUUAUGGUUACGUAUAUCAGCCUUCAUUUUACGUCCCACGACCUUUGCACCGAUAUAUUGGUGAAUAUUUGUGAAAAAAUAAAUAGUUAUAGGACUUGAAGGAUUUUGAAUCUAAAGAGAAGUUAACACAGUCUUCAAUACACCUUUACGGGGUCACUCCUCUUUGAAGCACUAUUUUGUAUAAAAGCUAUUGCCAUUGCAGCUUGCUUACCGUAUGUUUGAAAUGCAUAAAGUUGUAAUAAUCAGUGAGUAGCCUACUUUUACACUAAUCAGUGAACCAAGGUUCUGAUAAUUAAGAAUUGAGUAGAUUGAGAAAUAUAUGAGUGAUAAAUGAAUAAACAAAGAUAAAAAAUAAUUUGAAAUAAAAUUACAUGCGUUGUA